AAGCCGUGGUUAUGUAGGAGUUUCCUGUACUCGGACCCACUCCUCUCCUUCCCUUCACUCUCCAUCAUCAAACCGAGGUUCUGCAGGAGGGCUCUGCAGGGUUUGGUCUUCCGAUCAUACAGCACAAUCUCAGUCAGGAGAAGGCCACAUCCUGGAAAACCCAGGGCAGAUUUGCAUCUCUGAGA